AGGUUUACGUUUUCUGUGGCAAGGAUAUACUUUUUUACGGAAUGUCAAUAAAAUGUCAACUAAUUUAGAAACAAAGUUGUUAUAAUUUUGUAAUGGAUCUGUAUUGGGAUUAAAAGAAAAUCUUUCAUUGCACAAUUCAGUAAAUUUAGACCAAUCAAUCUUUUUAAAAUUAAUUUCAGAUAAAGAAUUUAUCGGAGGCGAUACAUAAUUGGGUUGAGUUCGUGUGACAGCACCCGUGGAGCCGGUGUUGUAAAUAACAUUCAAUAAAAGCGGGAAGUGAUUACUACUGAGAGGGUCAUCAAGAACCGAUAAUGAACAACUGGAACUUAUCGACUGCGAAGCAAUUACCAAAUCCAAGACAUUACCUUGCUGUCCAAAAGGAGCCAAGGUAGUGGUGGUGUGGUCAUUUAAGCAGACUAGGUUUUGGGUCUCUGUUAGUGAGUGUAAGCUAUUACCUCUGCGAUCAUUAUUUCUAGAACCCCAUGAAGUAUGAUGAGCAUUAAAGUCUCCUAUAACUAAAUAAUGUCUGUUAGCGAUUUUCGUCAAUGCACUUGAUAACUGUUGAAUUCUAAAUUUCCCGUUGGGAGGAGGAGGCAUAUACACACAUAAUAUGUCUACAGAAAAUACAUGAAGUUUGAGGGAGAUUAAUAUGUUUUGAAAAUGAUAAUCUGAAGAUGUUGCAAUAGUGGAGAAACUAUACUUGUCCUUAACUGCCACUGCAACUCCUCCAUGUGGAUGGUCAGAGUCACGUCUCACUAUAUUAAAACCAGUUUUAAUCAUAACACCCAAUAUGUCAACGGAGUUAAUUACAUCACUAAAUAAAGCCCUUUUGUUUGGAAUUUGAUUAGAAUACAAAUCGGAAGUAGUUUUAACUUUUGCAGCAACUGUGGCGACCCUCUGCUGUGGCCAAAUUUGUAGCAUGUGAAACAUUGAAGUAACGGCUUGAUAUACUGCUUCACAUCAAACCAAAUAUGAUCGAACGUGACGUGAUCAGGCGCUGUUGAACUUAAAAAAGUUAUUAAGACUGUCGGUGUUGGAACCCAGGAGUCAUCUGCGACCUUACGGUUGAAACGUUUGACUCCGAUGAUAUCAGUUGCAGCCUUCAAGUUUUCUAAUAAAUCCUCUUCAGAAAUAUCAACAGGUGCUCGUAUUAUGCCCUGGCUUUCGAGAUUAUUGUAUGGAAUUCUUGCUAACCAUUCAAAUUUUUCCAGUGCCUUUUUGUUAAGCAAAAAGUUAUUAGCGUCCUUCUUGUUGUUAAAAAAUACUUUAACAAGUGCAGGUCCGACCUGUUUGACGUAGAUAACUCCAGAUGUAGUUUUCAAAACAUUAUUAACUUUGAGUAAAUCCAUUUUGUUAUUUUGGCCAUUGUUCGAUGAAAGUAGGAUUGUAUACUCUUUCUUAUCAUUAUCGGUGUAAAUGUGGUUAUAAUCUCUGAAAAGUCCUCUACGGGUUCGAGAAAAGUUUGCCGCCAUUUUCGUGGGAGGAGAUUCUACGAAGUCACUCUUCUCAUCGUUUUUCCUUUUUCCAGGACGGACGAUGCCGUCACUGGAGACACUCAUUUACCCAAUUAAUAGUAACGGAUAUGCAAGUAAAUUCGACAGUAAUUUGUAAUCAAAAAGGGCUUAAAAGUAAUUUUUCAAAAUUAAUUAAAAUAAAGCAAACUACUUUGAAGCUUGG